CCCAGGAAGAUAAGCCUUAUGACGAACAACAGGAAUAGGUGGUCCAGGAGCAAACACCUAACAAGCUCAAUAACAGAAUAGGUGGUCCAGGAGCAAGAGACUAGCGGGCUCAAUAACAGGACAGGCAACACGGAUGGAACUACUCGAUAGCAGAAAAGAACAACUACUUUCACUUCCCCUUCCCACUUUUUUCUCUUUAAAAACCUGAAAAAGAUGGUGAAGGGGAACAAGGCCACCCUCAUGGAGGGUUCCUAAGAAGAAGAAUACUAACUAGGGAAGAAAAAGAAAAAAGAAGGAAAUGACAAAA
rnacentral:lncRNA from 1 species